rnacentral:rRNA from 1 species
GGCUAUAUGGGUUCGCUCUACACCCUUUGUGACAUACCUAUAACUGUUGCUUCGGCGGGUAGGGUCUCCGUGACCCUCCCGGCCUCCCGCCCCCGGGCGGGUCGGCGCCCGCCGGAGGAUAACCAAACUCUGAUUUAACGACGUUUCUUCUGAGUGGUACAAGCAAAUAAUCAAAACUUUUAACAACGGAUCUCUUGGUUCUGGCAUCGAUGAAGAACGCAGCGAAAUGCGAUAAGUAAUGUGAAUUGCAGAAUUCAGUGAAUCAUCGAAUCUUUGAACGCACAUUGCGCCCGCCAGCAUUCUGGCGGGCAUGCCUGUUCGAGCGUCAUUUCAACCCUCAAGCUCUGCUUGGUGUUGGGGCCCUACAGCUGAUGUAGGCCCUCAAAGGUAGUGGCGGACCCUCCCGGAGCCUCCUUUGCGUAGUAACUUUACGUCUCGCACUGGGAUCCGGAGGGACUCUUGCCGUAAAACCCCCAAUUUUCCAAAGGUUGACCUCGGAUCAGGUAGGAAUACCCGCUGAACUUAAGCAUAUCAAAA